AUUGAUCUAACUGGAAGCUCAGAUUUAUCAGAUGCUGAUCAGAAUCACAUUCACUGAAGACAAGGGUCUUUUGAUCAGUUGCAUUGGGAAUUUUACCUGGAAUUCAAUGCACAUAUGGUCUCUGAAGGCAAAGAUUUCCACUGAGUUUUGUAAUGAAGUAUAAAAAGCCUUUGACUAUAAUUGUUUUACUAAUUUGCAGUCACGUCUUUUCUGUACAUGGACAAGAUUUCCAAGCAAGGAAAAUAUGUAUGUCAAGUCUGCAGGACAAGGCCAGUGUUGUCUCCCUGCAUCCUCACCUAUAAAGCAUUUGUUCUUCAUCACAGUUACCUUGGUGAGUUUAGAUGGCAGAAACUCCGCAAAAAUAGAAGUAUUGUAAAAGCAAAUACAGGCAAUAAGAAACCCAGGCUAAAGAGAUGAACUUUGAAUGUGUUUCUGAUGACCAUUACUACUGCCUUGUUACUUGAGUGCUGCCAAUGCCUCUGUGCAGCUGAUCCCAUUGCCAGUGACCACAGAGGACUGUUUAAAGUCUGAUGAAGUUGCAGCUACAGGAUGCUCCAGAUCCAGGGAACCAGCAUAGCAGAGACAAGAGAAAAACGUGAGUAUUAAGCAGUGCCAUCUAGUGUAGUGCAGGCACUCAUUGACAGGGAACAGAGCUGGCCUCCAGGCAUUUUUUAGCCUUUAACUGAAAGAAAAACACAGUACUAAACCCAUACACACUGCACAAGAGUUUUGAUGGCAAAUAAAAGUAAAAAAUGCCAAAGCA
rnacentral:lncRNA from 1 species